rnacentral:rRNA from 1 species
GGCCUACGGGGGGCAGCAGUGGGGAAUAUUGCACAAUGGGGGAAACCCUGAUGCAGCCACGCCGCGUGAGUGAAGAAGGUUUUCGGAUUGUAAAGCUCUGUUUGCAGGGAAGAGGAAGGACGGUACCUGCCGAGGAAGCCACGGCUAACUACGUGCCAGCAGCCGCGGUAAUACGUAGGUGGCACGCGUUGUUCGGAAUAACUGGGCGUAAAGGCUGCGUAGUCGGUUUAACAAGUUAUAUGUUAAAUAU